UUUGAUCAUGGCUCAAAUUGAACGCUGGCGGAAUGCUUUACCCUUGCAAGUCAAACGGCAGCAUAGGUGCUUGCACCUGAUGGCGAGUGGCGAACGGGUGAGUAAUACAUCGAAACGUGCCCAGUCGGGGGGAAUAACGUACCGAAAGUUACCCUAAUACCGCAUACAAUCUACGGAUGAAAGGGGGGGAACCGUAAGGGGCCUCGCGCGAUUGGAGCGGCCAAUGUUAAAUUAGGUAGUUGGGGGGGUAAAGGCUCACCAAGCCAACAAUCUAUAGCUGGUCUGAAAGGAUGAUCACCCACACUGGGACUGAAACACGGCCCAAACUCCUACGGGAGGCAGCAGUGGGAAAUUUUGGACAAUGGGCGCAAGCCUGAUCCACCCAUUCCGCGGGCAGGACAAAGGCCUUCGGGUUGUAAACUGCUUUUGUACAAAACAAAAAGCUCUGGGUUAAUACCCUGGGGUCAUGACGGUACUGUAAAAAUAAGCACCGGCUAACUACGUG
rnacentral:rRNA from 1 species